UUGACCUUGUCUCGCGUGUUUUUCCUGCUGCUUUGUCUCAACAGAGCUGCUUGAAGAUGAAGGACGCACUGCACUAUCCAGCCAGGCUGUAUAGGGAAGUGGGAUAUAUCCUUCCUCCCUGCAGAGGCCAUGUCAUGGGUGGACCGGUCAUUAAUGGUGCAGAAAACAAAAAACAGCCAAAGAAAUAACAACUCGGAUGCUACAGGACAGCUACAAUGUCUAAUGUAGGCACAUUUUACAACUAUUAUAAGAAGAAAAGAAAAUGCUGAGACAUGCAGGAGUCCACAUCAGGUUGCCUUCUUUGUCAGCCAGGACCUGGAAUCUGAUUCUACAGUGGGCAUGGACUUAACAAAAAUGUGGAAUAAUCUGUUGUUUUGCAUCAAUUUCUCGUGUUAAUCCACGAUCCCUCUCAUACCUCGACUCAUCUAUUAGUCUGUCAGUUUUCACAAAUGGGAACUUGUUCCUCUGCCAUUAUCUCUGUGAGAUGAAAUGAACAAGCGCACAAAACUUCUAUUCAAACCAGAAGGACUGAAAACAAGCUGAAGGUUUGAUGUCCAGAAGCUGAUCCAAGUGGACUCAGCUUAUGAUGAAAUGUACGCCAGCAAAGCAGCCCACAUUCCCCCAUGUCCUCUCCCUACCCGGCACUUCAUUAAAGGUGUAGUAUCUCUUCGAGACAUCUUCCUGCUCCUCAACAACACUAUUCAAUACUUUUUCAUUUCCCGCCUUCAUCCACAAAGCAUUUUAUUGAUAAUAUGAAAAGAAAAAAAAAUCGCACAACCCACACUCUUGUGUAUUACUGCUACAAAGAAUCGGUACAGUGCACAAUGCAGAUCCUGUUCAUCGAUCUCCAUUCACGUCUUGACCCUUCCGGACAUGAUUCCUAGACAGAGUGGUAAUGUAAAAGGCAUUGGGGCAUUAAUGUGGCCAUCAUCAGCCACAAACACAUAAAUAGAACAAUAGAAGCAGAAUAAGAAGACUAUGCAAAAAAAAUGUGAAUCAAGCAAAAUAGAGAGAGAGAGAGAGAGAGAGAGAGAGAGAGAGAGAGAGAGAGAAGGAGAGAAGGAAUAUCAGUGAGAAAAUUAGCAAGAGCUCUCAGAAUGGUUUGAAUGCUUUUAUAUGCAGUCCACUCACAUGCACAAUAUUAUUAGUCAUAAAAAUCCUGAUGGUGUCCUUAUUCUCAAAAGUGCCCCACUAUGAAAGCAGUACAGCCUCCCAUGUAGGUUUAAUGCCCCUAAUACACAGCACAAGGGGGGGGAGCACAGAACACGAUGUGUCUUCUUAUCAAACCUGGAUAACAAUCAGGCAAUUGUAAUUAAGUUAUACACUUUCAAAAUGUAACCUGGUACAUGUCAUAUAUCAGCCCAGACUCAUAGCAUUUCAUGAUAUAGCCACAAAAUGUAAUCUAGUGAUUAGUGUUCAUAGACACGAAUUUCCCUCUUUUUCCAUUUCACUAAAGAUGACUUUCUAUGUAAUGUAUUUUAAAAGGAAGUAUUUUUGGUGUUUCCGCCAAAGCUUUCAUUCUCCCACUGGAUACCACAGACCCUGUAUUGUUUUCUCUUAUUUGUUAUUAAUUUUGAAUCUUCAAGCACCAUUAAUCAACAUUUAAGCAGGAGAUUUUAUCCUUAAAAACUAUAAUCACACUCUUGAUAUCAACCCAA